rnacentral:lncRNA from 1 species
AGUUUUGAGAUGGGUAGUCAGGGUUCAGGCUGUGGCUGGAUUCCCCCCACCCCCGCCCCCCACUCCCCGCAUCCUUUUUUUUUUUUUUUUUUUCCCUUUUGAUGACUUCUGUUCUUUCUAAAGAGGAGCUGUCACAGUGAAGACUUCAGCCUGACCAGCCCCGGAAACUGGUGAUCGUCAUGGCUGAUGGCUUGUUUACAUGAUCCUGAUAUCCCUGGGCCAAGGCCACUGAGAUCCUGGGGACUUUAUUACUAUGAGUUUCAUCUCUGUGGUCACAUUAGUAGACAUGGAGUCUUUCGUUAGAGGCAGACAAAGCAACAGAUAGCGAGCUGGAUUCUAACGACAGAGACAGAGGGACUUGGGUGGCUUCUCUUCAUUCAAGCAUAAUACAUAACCAUUUUCCUAAACAUAGCUAAGUCUGGCCUGAAACUCACUGUGCAGCUCAGACUGCUGUGGACUUGAAAUCCCCCUGCCUCAUCUUCAAGAGUGCGGGGACUAUCAAUGGCAUGAUUUAGUUUUUAAAAUUAAUAUAAUAUAUUUUAGGGGCAGAGUCAAGUCUUUACUAAAUGUCUUUUGUUCGACACGGGUGCGGCCAUGUCAAUGACCAGUGCUGCCUCAGCCCUGUGGGAAUAGGUACCAGAUGGAUGGGGCUCUGCCGGAUGGUGAAGGCUUCCUCCGGUCUGUGUGCAGAUGUUGAGAGUAUAUGCUGAAAAUGUCACCAAAGCUUUCUCUUCCCAGAUGUUUGUGUCCAGAAGACUGAUCUCUAGAGAGUACUGCCACCAAGAUUAGCUAAGCCUGCUUCCUUGCUCGGCUGUAUAUAAUACCCUGCCCCCUUGUUUGCCUGUAAUAAGCCUGCCUCUUUGUUCGAAUGUACGCAA